rnacentral:misc_RNA from 1 species
CUGGGUCCUCAGCUUCCGUCCAUCUUGAAGGGGCUUUUACUGUCAAACACAAGCGGACUGACGGAGGACGAAAUAAUGUGUUCUGAAGACGUGUAUACCUUUCUAGGCGAUCUCUUACAGGGGAAGAUGUGGGCACUUUCCAUGAUCGAUGCAUCAGGGAAACCUGCUUCCUCCAUCUUUAAAGGGGCAACCACCUUCUUCGGGAACUAUGAUGAAUGUCUUGAGGUGGUCAGUGAGGUGGACCUAUCCACUGGUAGACAAGUAAAGGGGGACACCUGCGUUGUCUCCAUUAAACCCCCUCCACAGCUGCUAAAACAUGAUGGGGCCCGCAAGUGUCUUAGCUCCGAACCUUGCCUUCAACUGGCAUCUGUGCCUUCCAGAAACGUGCGGCAGCAAUAAAGUCAAGGCAGACAUACAAAGCAUGUUGUCUCAAGUUAACCUGACAAUAGACAAAGUGGUGUGUCAUGCUGAAGUGAAGAACGGGCCUAUGAGUGAGGACAGCGCAGCAGUGGGAGCUAUCGUCCUGACAGCCAUCUUGGGAUGCAUGGUUCUUCUGGGUUCUGCUUUGGAUCUGUACAUCCGGGCUACCAAAGAUCAUGGUGAGAAGGCCCCUGUCACUCCUGGUCUGGAUGCUGUUCAGCUAGAAAAAAUCAGUGCAAAUUUACAGUCUAAGGACACUGAGGGGAUUGAGGCACCAGUUAGCAAUGGGCAUAGAGAUGGUUUGAUUGGCAAUUCGCAAGGGACUGGUCACGUAGAGAAUGGUGGACUAGACAACCCUGCAGGUCCAGCAUUACCUGAAACAAAAGGUGGACACUUUCUAUAUCCUAAUACUGCUCAGCUGCCCAAAUCAGAAGAGAAACCAAAGAACCAGAAACCAAAAUUAUGGAAGCGUGUCCUGUUGUGUUUCUCAGCCGUCAGCAAUGGGGAGAAGAUCCUCAGCGUGAAACGCUCACCUGGAUCACUUACCUGUCUUAACGGCAUCCGGGUGCUCAGCAUGAGCUGGGUCAUUUUGGGACACACGUUCCUUAAUCUCAUUACUAACGUAGAAAAUGGAGCAGACCUCCUGCCGAUAACAAGGAGUUUCAGUUUCCAGGUUAUUAUGAACGCUCCAUUAUCGGUGGAUACAUUCUUUUUUCUCAGUGGCCUAUUGGUGACGUACUUGUUCCUGAAGGAGACGGAGAAGGCUGGAGGUCUGAAGGUGAAGCACAUGGUCAUGUACUACGUCCACCGCUACUUGAGAUUGACACCUGUGUACGCCUAUGUGAUAUUCGUCUACACGUUCGUUGUGCCGUAUUUGGUUGAUGGUCCAACCUGGACAAGUCCUACCGACAAGGCAGUUUGUGAGAAGAACUGGUGGAUAAACUUACUGUACAUAAAUAAUGUACUCUCACCAGACCAAAUGUGUAUAGCCUGGAGCUGGUACCUCGCCAACGACAUGCAGUUCUAUGUUGUGGCUCCCCUGGCGUUGAUCCCCUUGGCACUAAGUUCACAGAUGAAGGACAACUUUGCAAGAAAGGUCCUGAAGCUGAUUGGUAUAUGCGUGUCUGUCGGAUGCAUCAUCAUCAGCAUCGCCUGCACUGGCUACUAUUCAUAUCACAACUUCCAGGAUCUCAACGGGGUGUUCCUGAAUGUGUACAUCAAACCUUGGAAUCGGAUCGGACCAUUCGCCAUAGGGAUGCUUGUUGGCUAUAUGCUUCAAACGAAGAAGUCAAAGAUCGAGAUUUCUCCAUUCAUGCAAGGUUUGGGAUGGGUCCUGGCUUUGACGGCAGCCGGACUAUGCACACUGUUAACCUAUGACGACACAAAAGGACCAGGCUGGGGAAUCGAUGGAAGGACCGCUUUCGACACGCUGUUCAGACCUGUUUGGGCGCUGGUCCUGGGUUGGGUCGUCUUCAUCUGCUGCAAGGGAAAAGGAGGUAUCGUGGACUGGAUGUUGUCCUGGGACUGGUGGCAGCCUCUCUCUCGUCUCACAUACGGGGCCUACCUCGUCCAUCUUGUCUUCAUGAUUACUGAAACAUUAUCGAUGAGGUCACUCAUCUACUACACGCAAGGUUAUAUUGUGUACCGUUAUUUCGGCUUCGUGUGCAUGUCGUUCAUCUUCUCCUUCCUGCUGGCCAUCCUGGUGGAGGCGCCCAUGCUGCAGUUGGAGAAGCUGGCCCUGUCAUAAGUCACAGUAGUUGCUGUCGACGUCAUCUACCACAACUACCACAACUACCUGUAUAAUACCUAUGUCAAGCAUGUGAUCAAAGACACAAGAUAAAAGUACUCAAUGAAGAGAUCACGUGAUAAUUGUACAUGCUUCCGUACUAAAAGUGUGUUGUUAUUGAAACUACAUGAAAAAAAAGUAUGCUGAAAGAGACCAAUAGUUUUAUCACCAAAUAAAUUAUAUUAAUGAACACCGAAAGCUAGUGACGUAGCAUAAUCUUGAAAGUAGUAAACUUCAUUUGCCUCAAAUAGCGAAUAUUCUUUCAUCCAUCUAAAAUCACAACUACCAGAAACAGAGC